rnacentral:rRNA from 1 species
AGGGAAUUUUCGGCAAUGGGGGCAACCCUGACCGAGCAACGCCGCGUGAAGGAAGAAGGUCUUCGGAUUGUAAACUUCUGUUAUAGGGAAAGAACGAUAGGUAGAGGAAAUGCUACCUGUGUGACGGUACCCUAUGAGAAAGCCACGGCUAACUACGUGCCAGCAGCCGCGGUAAUACGUAGGUGGCAAGCGUUAUCCGGAAUUAUUGGGCGUAAAGAGUGAGUAGGCGGUUUCUUAAGUUUGGAGUGAAAAGCAGUUGCUUAACGACUGUUUGCUUCAAAAACUGGGAAGCUAGAGUGCAGGAGAGGUUAACGGAAUUCCAUGUGUAGCGGUGAAAUGCGUAGAUAUAUGGAGGAACACCAGUGGCGAAGGCGGUUAACUGGCCUGUGACUGACGCUCAGUCACGAAAGCGUGGGGAGCAAAU